UCGUAACAAGGUUUCCGUAGGUGAACCUGCGGAAGGAUCAUUACUGAGUGCGGGCCCUCUGGGUCCAACCUCCCACCCGUGUAUACUUACCGUGUUGCUUCGGCGGGCCCGCCUGCCAGGCCGCCGGGGGGCAACCGCCCCCGGGCCCGCGCCCGCCGAAGACCCCCACGAACUCUUUCUACCUUGCAGUCUGAGCGAUAAGCAUAAAUUAUUAAAACUUUCAACAACGGAUCUCUUGGUUCCGGCAUCGAUGAAGAACGCAGCGAAAUGCGAUAAGUAAUGUGAAUUGCAGAAUUCAGUGAAUCAUCGAGUCUUUGAACGCACAUUGCGCCCCCUGGUAUUCCGGGGGGCAUGCCUGUCCGAGCGUCAUUACUGCCCUCAAGCCCGGCUUGUGUGUUGGGCGCCGCCCCCCCGGGGGCGGGCCCGAAAGGCAGCGGCGGCACCGCGUCCGGUCCUCGAGCGUAUGGGGCUUUGUCACCCGCCCGUAGGCCCGGCCGGCGCCCGCCGACCCCCUCCAACCUUUUUUUUUCAGGUUGACCUCGGAUCAGGUAGGGAUACCCGCUGAACUUAAGCAUAUCAAUAA
rnacentral:misc_RNA from 1 species